UAUUUUAGAUCAUUGGUUCUCAAGUGAGGCUAUUUUUGGUUGUCCCAGCAGUGACAGUGAGGGGUGCUACUAGCAUCAAUGAGGUCGUUUUCAGAGGGAAUUGUUGCACAUGUAGCUAUAGACUCGGUAUGUUCAUACAAGGAGGUGAAUUCAGGAUCUUCCUAUGCUGUCAUCUUGGACUGCCCAGAUCACGAGUUCGCUGGUGGCAGAGGUCUGUUUAGGUGAAAGAUGACAGAGAAUUAGGCUUAUUUAUUUAAGUGUGAGCGGAGGAGUGGCAGAGAGGGA